AACGCACCUUGCACUCUUUGGUAUUCCGAAGAGUAUGUCUGUUUGAGUGUCGUGAAACUCUCAACCCCCCUAUUUUGUAAUGAGAUAGGUUUGCGGGCUUGGAUUAUGGUUGCCUGUCGGACCUCUUUAAUGAGCCGGCUCAGCUUAAAUACACGAGCGACCCAAUAUUCAUAUGGAUGUGACGACGGCUUGACUCGGCGUAAUAAUACUAUUCGCUGAGGACGUCGAGACUCCACUGUGCUAUUGACGCUUCUAAUGCGACUUUUGCUAGUCACCUUAAUCUCUAGACCUCAAAUCAGGCAGGACUACCCGCUGAACUUAA
rnacentral:misc_RNA from 2 species